AAUAUUGGACAAUGGGGGCAACCCUGAUCCAGCCAUGCCGCGUGUGUAAAGAAGGUCUUCGUAUUGUAAAGCCCUUUAAGUUGGUAGGAAGGGUUUAAGGUAAAUACCCUAAAGUCUUGAUGUUCCCAACAGAAUACUCACGGCUUAACUCUGUCCUCGAUGCCGCGGUAAUACAGAGGGUGCAAGGGUUAAUCGGAAUUACUGGGCGUAAAGCGCGCGUAGGUGGUUCAGUAAGAUGGGUGUGAAAUCCCCGGGCUUAACCUGGGAACUGCUUUCAUAACUGCUGAGCUAGAGUACGGUAGAGGGUAGUGGAAUUUCCUGUGUAGCGGUGAAAUGCGUAGAUAUAGGAAGGAACACCAGUGGCGAAGGCGACUACCUGGACUGAUACUGACACUGAGGUGCGAAAGCGUGGGGAGCAAACA
rnacentral:rRNA from 1 species